rnacentral:lncRNA from 1 species
AAAACAAAGACUAAAGGCCUAACAAAAUUCAAAGAAAAAGAAACAAUAAACUAAACGACAAUAAAACAGCUACCCAACCAUAUGAGCUGUGUUCUUCUAGAUUACUCUGUAGAAAAUAUCUGCAACCCAAACGACCAGCUCUUAAAGAAGACAAACAGACAGAGAAAUCGAUUCAAUAUCUUCUCAUACUCCAUAUAAUCACUUGAUGAUUCUGUUUCGGUGUGGGCUUCAUCUCCAUCCCCGAUCGACUUCCAAUUCAGUUAGAUCUUGACCAACAUUUUCAUGCAUUUUUACCCAUUUUUAGCCUUUCAGAUGCUAAAUUGUGUGCUGAUUUGUUUGCUGCUCGCAUUGCAUGUUGAAACUUGCAUUCAUAAAAAGUCACAUUUUGUUCUUUAAUAUCAUGAAUAUAUGAUCCAAUUGCCGAUUUGUCUUUAUUUGGAUUUUUAACUUUCUUGAUUACUAUUAAUGAGCCACCCUCAAUUUCAACAUAUUUCAUCCCCAAAUCUCUACCCAUAGUAACCGCCUGCAAACAUGCAAUGGCUUCAACUGCGAAUUUGGAAGGAAUGUUAUCGUGGACCAUUAUUUUUGAGGCCAAAACAUUUCCUUUAAAAUUCAUGACUAUGAUUCCCGAGCAUAAUCUGUUUUUACUGUUAUCAAAAGCAGCAUCGAAGUUUAUUUUAAUGAAGCCUUGUUUCGGAUGUCUCCACAAAUCAGAGUCCGGACUUAAGGUAAGAUGUUUUCUAUCAGUAUCUUUUAGGUCUUGUAUAUACUGUAAUAUGAACUUCGAUGUCUCUACUCCAGAUCUAUUAUGUCCUUCAUGAAUCCAUUGAUUUCUAACAGACCAGAUAGCCCAAAUGGCAUAGACAAAGAUUCGACAUCCAUCUGCCUUACUGUUUAAAAGGACCCAGGUAAACUACUCCAUAAACUCCAUUUGGGAUAUAUCAUGAGACCAGGCAUAGUCUAAUUUUUCCCACGUUUCCUUUGUAACAACACAAUCACAGAAAAUGUGUUCCCCAGUUUCUAGCCCUUGCCUGCAUAUUGGACAAACAUCUUCAUUAGUUAAUCUUUUUAUUCUUAGAUUCACUAGUGUAGGAAGAUAGUUGAGAGUGGCUCUCCAAGCUGUAAUAAUUAAUUUGGAAGGGAAGUCACUGUUCCACAGCUUCUUGUAGCAUUUAUUAUUUUCAAUCAGGUUAUAACUAUUAAUAUUGUGAGCAUUACCUUGUAAUAGUAACUUUUAUUCGCUACGCACAGUAUACUCGCCCAAUGAUUCACCCUUCCAUACCAAAAAAUCAUCAUGGGGAAAAUGAGCCAGUGGAAUUUGUAGAAUCUUUUGAACAUCAUCUUCAGAAAUUGUAUUCAAAAUCAACUCAAUUAUCCAUGAUCUAGUAGUACUGUCAAUAAGAUCCGCAACCCUUAUAAUAUUCUGCCUACUAACCAUUUGUCUAAUCAACAGGCCUUCAACAUUCGGAACCCAACCAUCGUCCUCGAUUCUAAUGUCACGACCAGUGCCCACCCUCCAGUACAGUCCAGAUAGAAGGAGUCCUUUCGCAGCCCAUAUACAUUUCCAAGUAUAUGAAUGUAAGUUCUUUAACUUUGAAUUUAAGAAAUCAGAAUUUGGAUGAUAUUUGGCUUUCAACGUUCGUGCUAAAAGGGACUUGGGAUUGUCAAUUAAUCUCUAACCUUACUCUGCGAGAAAGGCCAAAAUAAAUUUUCCUAAAUUACGAUAACUAAGACCACUACACUCCUUUAAUUCGCAUAAUUUACUCUAUGAACACCAAUGGAUCCCAUGUCUCCCAUAACCCUUUUGCCACUAGAAAUUUGCUAUAAUUUGUUCCAUCUCUUCGCAUAUUGAUUUCGGCAAUAGAAAGCAUGCCAUUAUGUAUGUUGAGAUUGCUUGUAAAACGGCUUUUAUGAAAACCUCUUUUAUUUUUUGCGAUAAUAAACUUGUACUCCAGCUAUCAAUCUUCAUCUUUAUGCGAUCCUUUAAGUGUUGGAACGCCAGACGUUUCUUCUUACCCACCAUAUUUGACAGACCUAAAUAUUUCUCGAAAUUGUUGGACCUUUUGACCCCCAACCUAUUCGAUAUGGUAAUACGGACUGUAUCAAUGGUAUUUGAAUUGAAAAACACAGUCGACUUCCCAUAAUUGACACAUUGGCCUAAGCAAACUUCGUAUUCUUUUAGAACCUUUUCGAACAUCGCAGUACCUUUAUCAGUCGCUUCCCCGAAUAAAAUACAGUCAUCAACAAAAACAAGGUGGAAAAUCUAAGGCCCUUUUCUGCUUGCCUUAACCCCUCUCAAACUCUCUUACUCAUUUGCGAGCCUUAAUAGAGUUGAAAGCCCUUCACUACAAAUGAGAAAUAAGAAAGGGCUUAAAGGAUCACCUUAACGCAAACCUCUUUGAUUAAAUGCUAAAGUUACAUAUUUAAUGUAAUUAAAUUGGUUAAUUUAUGAGAAUGCACCACUAAUUUUGCCAUAUUUAUUGACUUAGUGGGGGAGAUUAUUUUGGGAUAUUUUUUGUCAUGGAAUAUUUUUUUUCCUUAAUUUUUUAUGACUAGUUGGCUCAUAAUUUAGUAAAUCCUCUAGUAUAAAUAGAGCAUGUAUUGUUCAUUUAUUCAUCAAUCAAAAAAUAUUAAGUUCUUGUCUUUCAAUACAUUCUCUCUUUUCUCACGUAGCAUUGUUGUUUCUUUAGUUUCCUUUCCUUCAAUUUUUAAUUUCCAGUAGCUAAUCACCAAAUCAAGCCAUUUGCAAUUCCUUUUUCAAUUUUUUUCCAAAUAGUCAACCACCCCACUUUAAUAUAUUCCAGCCCCCAGACUUAAUCACAUCACCCAUCUUUUCACCAUUCCUACCUUAUUUAAUUUAUCAAAUACCAACAUGCCUCAAACUUUAGCCAACUAAACUCAUUUUCAGCUUUAGGCCGAAAUUAGCCUCGUCAAAACCCGUGAGUUACGAACUCGAGUCAUUUAACUCCUAAAAUUCCAGUACUUAUUACUUCUCCGGAUUAAGAGUAUGAUUUUGUCAACUCAUAAAGUCAGAUCAACACUAAGUCAAAAAAGACGUCGUUUGAUUUAGUGUGGUUAGACGUACUGUUGAAAUUCCGAAAGGAACGUUUCUAAUCGGUUUUCUGUGAACACAUUGGCGUGCCAAGUAGAGAUUGCUGUUUGGUUCCGUCAAGGAAGUAGUAACCGGAUUUAAAUGUCCCACGCGGUUGAGGGCAUUGGUUCGAGCUAGGCUCUUCUAGAACGCAAAGUUGCCGGAGUUCUAAAUCACGAACGUUUCGUUGUUGUUCGAUCGGUAAGAAUUAGUUAUUGGACAUUCCAUAACUAAUUUACACAAGGAAGAGUUGGUGUCCGAGGCGUCCUUGGUAGCUAUAACUAGCUUAUUGGAAAAGAGGAGUUCAUCCAAUUUCGAGGAUCGAUUCAAAGACGAGGAAAAUUCGUGUCUAAAGCUGAGCUCAUUCUAAUUAAUUUUUCUUAAUAUUUAUUUCACGGUUUUUAUUAUUCUGUUUCCAACUUUUACUUUUGACAUUAUUUUUUUGUUAAUUUCAGGUUUUCAAAUUUUUAUCCCCCUGAACGUCUUGGGCACGACAGCUGCCCCGACAUAAAUCUGGUCAAGCGAGCAAUAGUUUACAGUAAACCAGUCUCUGAGGGAUCGACCCUAUUCCCUAUACUGCAUAAUUUGCAAACUAAGGCGUAGGUUUAUAUUGGUGGAUUUGAUUCCCAUCACUCUUUCUGGGGUAAAGACCAUCCUUGGUACACCAUUUAAAACAACCAAAUACAAAAUAGUGCUAAUACAGUACAUGAUAAGAUCAACCCACAAAUCAUCAAAACCCAUUUUGGUCAUCAUUUGUUUCAAAAACUCCCAUUCCACCCAAUCGUAUGCCUUUCUCAUAUGUAACAUCCUGAAAAUUAUUACUGAAAUACCCUGAAAACUACUACAGUAAGAAAAUAGGUAUCCUUGAUAUAGUAAAAUAAGGAAAUAAAGUGACAAAAAGGGAGAUUUUGAGUUAUGGCAACAUUGGGAAGUAUAUUAUGGUAUAUUAAUUUAAGAAAGGAUUAUAUUGCAAAAGUGAGAAAAAAUUUGUUGAUCAAGAGUAAAUACUCAAAAUUUGAGGGGGUAAAGUGUAAAUAUAAAAAAGUUGAAGGACCAAUAGUGUAAAUAUUUUAUGGGUGGAAUAAUCUAAAAACUAAGAAAAAUGGAUGAAUUAGGAUUAAAUUGAAAAUGUGAAAAAUUUUGAGGGAUUAAAUCGUAAUUUUACCAAAUUAAGUGAUGAUUCAAGGAUAGAAUUUUAAAAGAUUAUGGAGGGCAAAAUGGUCAAUUAGAGAGAGAGAACUCUAGAAUGUAAUGAUGAUGUUGGUGAUAUUUUUAAUUAAUUAAUUAGAUAAAUGUUAUUUUAUUAAUAUUUUUAGUAUUAUUUUAUUAUUAAAUGAUUAAUAUAAAAGGGAGGAAAGAUGAAAAGAAAUCAUCAUCUUCCCAUACAUCCAACGUGAGAAGAAGAGAGAAAGAAAGAAAGUUUUGCUUUCUUUACAAUUUGGUCAUUCCACUAAAUAUUUACCAUUUUUACCUAGAAAUCAAAAGAAUUUUCAUAGCCAUCAAGAGAGAAAGAUAAUAAGGAGACUAUGGGGAGCUAGAAUAUCAAGUUAGAUUCAAGAAAUAGAAGCUGGAGGAGAGAGAAAAUUAAGUUAAAUAUUGAAAUCAAUAUCACAAGGUAAGAAUAUCAAGAUUUCAAUAUAUUUUUGAGUUUGAUAUUAUUGAAAAAGUAGGAAAUUAAUGUUAAUGUAGAGUUUCAUUAUAUAAGGUUCUAUAUUCUUGUUAUGUUAGUAAAGGGAAAUAAGAGGAAGUGAUGAAAAAUAUUGAAGAGAACGGAAAAGAAUGUGUUAUAAAUUUAGUUAUCAACAUUUUAUACUAAACAGUUUUGAGACAGCAACAGUUGUCUGAUUUUGAAAAUUUACCAAAAAUCGUAGAAAUUGAAUUAGAGGAUGAAAAAAUAUGAAAUUAAAUAUUAUUAAGUCUAUUUUCACACAAAAUAGACAUAGAAAGCAAAAGAGUUUUAUAUUAUGAGAUAUUUGAAUUUUAGUGAGAUAGGGUCAGAAUGAUUUCAGAAUCUUAUGUCUUGACUUUGGAAAAUCAUCAAAAAUUGUACAAAAAUAAUUAUGGGAUAAACUUUAUAUGUUAAGAAUCCUAAAUGAGUCUAUUUUCAAAAAAAAAAUAAACGAGAACAUUAUACAAAUUUUUUACAAUGAGAUAAUUAAUUUUUAGUGAAGAGUGGUUAGAAUUGUUGAACAGUGAAAUAGGGGAGACUUUAAUGAAUAAAUUGUACUAUUUGACUAAACCAAAAAUUGUUAAAAUUUUAUGGUAAUAAGAUAUGUGAGUCCAGUUUCGGGAAAAAUUAAGGGAUCUUAAUUUGGAGUUUCGUAGCUCGAGAUAUAAAUAAUUUAGUGACUCUGACUUAGACAGACAACUUUGAGUUUACAUAUGAACAAAUAGUGAAAUUUUGGAUAAUGAUAAUUGAGUGUGUUAUAUAUUAAGGAUGUGGAAUGGAGAGGAGGAGGAGGAAAAAAUAUAUGAAUGAAUUGUGUAUAAUUGGUUAUAUGUUCGAUUAUAAUUGAUAAAUGAUGAAAUAGAAAUGAUGCUUAUAUUUGUGCAUUAUUGGUCAUGGUUUAAGCUCAUGUGGGAAAAUAAAGUUUCAUAGUAUGUAUGUAUGAUAUAUCUGGUAUAUGAUUAACACAUGUUGGUAAGUUUGAUACUUGAAUAAUUGUUGUGCUCAUCCAUCCUUAUAAUGCUUAUGCUAUAUGUUUAUUUGGCUAAUAUGUUUGGUGUACAUGCUUAGGCUUUGGCCAAGUUGUGGCUGAAUUAUGCCACGUUAAACUUAUAAGUUAUGCGUUGUAAUGAUAUGUUUAUGUUUCGUGUAAUAUGCAUAG